rnacentral:rRNA from 1 species
GAUGAACGCUGGCGGCGUGCCUAAUACAUGCAAGUCGAGCGAAUGGAUUAAGAGCUUGCUCUUAUGAAGUUAGCGGCGGACGGGUGAGUAACACGUGGGUAACCUGCCCAUAAGACUGGGAUAACUCCGGGAAACCGGGGCUAAUACCGGAUAACAUUUUGAACCGCAUGGUUCGAAAUUGAAAGGCGGCUUCGGCUGUCACUUAUGGAUGGACCCGCGUCGCAUUAGCUAGUUGGUGCGGUAACGGCUCACCAAGGCAACGAUGCGUAGCCGACCUGAGAGGGUGAUCGGCCACACUGGGACUGAGACACGGCCCAGACUCCUACGGGAGGCAGUAGUAGGGAAUCUUCCGCAAUGGACGAAAGUCUGACGGAGCAACGUCGCGUGAGUGAUGAAGGCUUUCGGGUCGUAAAACUCUGUUGUUAGGGAAGAACAAGUGCUAGUUGGAUAAGCUGGCACCUUGACGGUACCUAACCAGAAAGCCACGGCUAACUACGUGCCAGCCGCCGCUGUAA